ACAACAUUUGGAUCAUCGGUCUACCGAGCAAUAUCACCCGCUCUGUGGAAGUUCUCAUUGUCGU
rnacentral:pre_miRNA from 1 species